UACGUAGGGGGCAAGCGUUGUCCGGAAUCAUUGGGCGUAAAGGGUGCGUAGGUGGCGCCGUAAGUCGGGUGUGAAAUUUCGGAGCUUAACUCCGAAACUGCAUUCGAUACUGCGGUGCUUGAGGACUGGAGAGGAGACUGGAAUUCAUGGUGUAGCAGUGAAAUGCGUAGAGAUCAUGAGGAAGACCGGUGGCGAAGGCGGGUCUCUGGACAGUUCCUGACACUGAGGCACGAAGGCCAGGGGAGCAAACGGG
rnacentral:rRNA from 1 species